rnacentral:rRNA from 1 species
AUGAUGGAUCAAAAUCUUAGUACCCUAAGAUGGAAUGUCCGAGGCUUAAAUUGUCUUGAUCGUCGAGCAACAAUCCAAUAAACAAUCAUCACCACUCCAUGUCGCUUGGUCUGCCUGCAGGAGACCAAGCUUGAGCUCGUCGACCCUUUCAUCGCUUCGUACCUGGGAGGUCAAAGAUUGAAGAGUUUUGCCCAUCGCCCUGCUAAUGGGACACGGGGUGGCAUCUUGCUUCUCUGGGAUGACGAUACUGUGGACGCGAAGGAUGCUUGCAUCGGAGCCUUCUUCCUCUCCUGCAAUGUCAUGAUCAAUGCAUCCAAUUGAACCUUUAAGCUAACAACGGUUUAUGGACCAACGAGAAGCAACCUGAAGGAUGCUUUCUUCCAGGAGUUGGUUGGCGAGAAACCUCCCCAUGGCACAAAGUGGCUAGUCACUAGUGACUUUAAUCAAAUAUACCAUGCCAGAGACAAGAAUAGAGCAAACAUCGACCGGAGCCGACUUGUCCACUUCCGUAAUGCACUGAAUACUUGUGAACUCAAAGAGAUUCAUUUGCAAAACAGAAAAUUCACUUGGAGUAAUGAGCGGACCGACCCAACCUUAAGCAAGCUCGACUCUUUCAUUUGCAUUGAAGAUUGGGACCUCGAUUUUGGCACUCACCUUCUCCUCGCGCUCUCAUCAUCACUGUCCGAUCACUACCCCAUAAAUGACAACGACCCGAAGAGGUCAAAGUCCUUCUGCUUUGAAAACUUUUGGAUCAAAAUGCCUGGGCUCAAAGAGGUUGUCCAAGAAGCUUGGAAUAAGGAUAUUAAUCACACUGAUCCUUACCACAUCCUUUUUCACAAGUUAAAAGAAACUAGUCAAAAAUUGAGGAGAUGGAGCAAGACGAUCUUCGCGCACGCUAAGGUGCAAAUCCACAUGGUUCUGGAAGUCAUUCUUCGUUUGGAUGUGGCUCAAGAGCUUUGGCCCCUCAGCACUGAUGAGCGAGAUCUACGGAAACACCUCAAACGGGAAGUGGUGGCCCUGGCCAUUAUGGAGUGUGCACGGAAGCGACAAGGCUCAUGAAUUACCAACCUAAAAGAUGGAGGCGCCAUCACUCGUUUUUUCCACCUUUGGGUCAAUCACAGAAGAAGGAAGAACUUCAUCCACCACCUCAAACACAACAAUAGAUGGGUUACCGUCUGCCGUGUCACACCGACUUCAAUUGGGGCAAUAUCCCAGUCUCUGAGUGCGACCUCAGGGACCUUGGAGCGGCCUUCACGGAGGACGAGGUGGAAAAGGCAAUUUUUGAUCUCUCCGGUGAUAAAGCUCCUGGGCCCGAUAGCUUUUCUAGGGCCUUCUUCAAGGAAUGUUGGGAAAUCAUAA